AGGGUACGUGGCGAUGGUCUGAUGGAUCUAGUCUGAGUUACCGUAACUGGGCACCAGGAGAGCCAAACAACAAGGACGGCGAGGACUGUGGAGAGUAUAGAAGGGAGACUGACUUCACAGGAUGGAAUGAUCUAGACUGCAGGGAAACUAUCGGGGCUCUGUGUCAAACCGAUAUAGACGAAUGUGAUAGGAACAACGGACGUGGAGACUGCGACCACGUCUGUGAGAACACUGACGGAAGUUACAGAUGUUCCUGCCGUGAUGGAUACCGGCUGUCUGGGUCAACGAACUGCAUUGAAAUUGACGAAUGCGCAAGCGAUCCGUGCCACAAUGGAGGAACCUGCGAGAAUCUGAUCAACAGGUACAACUGCAUCUGUGUACCAGGAUGG